UCAGUACAAGCCAUAUUAAGGUGAAACCGCGAAAGGCUCAUUAAAUCAGUUAUGGUUCCUUAGAUCGUACCCACAUUUACUUGGAUAACUGUGGUAAUUCUAGAGCUAAUACAUGCAAACAGAGCUCCGACCGGAAACGGAAGGAGUGCUUUUAUUAGAUCAAAACCAAUCGGCGGCAAUUUUGUAUCCACUUAAUUGUUCGUCGCACUUUUUGGUGACUCUGAAUAACUUUUGGCUGAUCGCACGGUCUCGCACCGGCGACGCAUCUUUCAAAUGUCUGCCUUAUCAACUGUCGAUGGUAGGUUCUGCGCCUACCAUGGUUGUAACGGGUAACGGGGAAUUAGGGUUCGAUUCCGGAGAGGGAGCCUGAGAAACGGCUACCACAUCCAAGGAAGGCAGCAGGCGCGCAAAUUACCCACUCCCGGCACGGGGAGGUAGUGACGAAAAAUAACGAUACGGGACUCAUCCGAGGCCCCGUAAUCGGAAU
rnacentral:rRNA from 1 species